UAAGGAAUAUUGGACAAUGGGCGGAAGCCUGAUCCAGCCAUGCCGCGUGGAGGACGAAGGCGCUCAGCGUUGUAAACUCCUUUUGGGCGGGAACAAUAACGCCGACUUGUCGGCGCUUGAGGGUACCGCCAGAAUAAGCACCGGCUAACUCCGUGCCAGCAGCCGCGGUAAUACGGAGGGUGCGAGCGUUAUCCGGAAUCACUGGGUUUAAAGGGUGCGCAGGCGGCCCGGUAAGCCCUUUGUGAAAUCUCCAGGCUUAACCUGGAACAGUCGGAGGGGACUGCCGGGCUAGAGGACGGGAGAGGAGCGCGGAAUUCCCGGUGUAGCGGUGAAAUGCGUAGAGAUCGGGAGGAAGGCCGGUGGCGAAGGCGGCGCUCUGGAACGUUUCUGACGCUGAGGCUCGAAAGCGUGGGGAGCAAACAGGAUUAGAUACCCUCGUAGUCCCUGAGCGGGCUGGCAAGGCGCAU
rnacentral:rRNA from 1 species